rnacentral:rRNA from 1 species
UACGUAGGGGGCAAGCGUUGUCCGGAUUUAUUGGGCGUAAAGAGCGUGUAGGCGGCCAGGUAGGUCCGUUGUGAAAACUCGAGGCUCAACCUCGAGCUGUCGAUGGAAACCAUCUGGCUAGAGUCCGGAAGAGGAGAGUGGAAUUCCCGGUGUAGCGGUGAAAUGCGCAGAUAUCGGGAGGAACACCGGUGGCGAAGGCGGCAUCCUGGACCGGCAUUGACGCUGAGGCGCGAAAGCCAGGGGAGCAAACGGG